rnacentral:sRNA from 1 species
CCCGGGCCGGGGCACGGAGAGAGCCGAGCGCCGCAGCCGUGAGCCGAAUAGAGCCGGAGAGACCCGAGUAUGACCGGAGAAGCCCAGGCCGGCCGGAAGAGGAGCCGAGCGCUGCCGGAAGGAACCGAGCCCGUCCGAAGGGAGCGGAGCGCAGCCUGGCCUGGGGCCCGGUCGAGCCCGCGCCAUGGCGGCCGAGGGGACAGCUGUGGCCGGAAGCGGGGCUGUUGGCGGCUGCCUGGCCAAAGACGGCUUGCAGCAGUCUAAGUGCCCGGACACUACCCCAAAACGGCGGCGCGCCUCGUCGCUGUCGCGUGACGCCGAGCGCCGAGCCUACCAAUGGUGCCGGGAGUACUUGGGCGGGGCCUGGCGCCGAGUGCAGCCCGAGGAGCUGAGGGUUUACCCCGUGAGGUGGGAGGUCAGGGGUCAGCCUCUCCGGUGCGCGGAUCGGGGUCAGGGGUCAGCCGCGGGGCCCUCAGGAUGCUCCAUGUUUUCGCCCCCCUCUUGCGCCCGCGCCUGGGGCGGGGCGGGGCCGGCCUGGCCGGGAGGGGGCCGGGGCCGCGGCAGGUAGGGCCGGCCGCGGGCUGAGCGCGCCUGGUGUGGGUCUGCAGCGGAGGCCUCAGCAACCUGCUCUUCCGCUGCUCGCUCCCGGACCACCUGCCCAGCGUUGGCGAGGAGCCCCGGGAGGUGCUCCUGCGGCUGUACGGAGCCAUCUUGCAGGUGAGGGGGGUGUGAGCGCCGCAGCGCCAGUGGCUUUAGGGCCUGUCGCUUACGCGAUGCGGGUAGUAUUGUUCCCAUUGCGCAGUUGAGGACACCGAGGUUCACGGUCUGAGUAACACUUAGCUCAUUACACCGAAGCCUGGGCCUGUAUUCCCAGAGCUUUGGGAGGCUGAGGCGAGAGGAUCACUUGAGCACAGGAGUUCGAGACCAGCCUGGACAACAUAGUGAGACCCCCAUCUCUAAAUAAAAAUAGACCAACGCUAAAGCCUGUGCUCCGGAGCCUCCAGGCAAUUGGAUCAGAAGUCGCAGCUCUGGUGGGAGGAAGGCGAGCCCUCAUGUGUGUCCCUGUGCCACUUUGCCUUGGCCCCUUUGCUGUCCAUCCUUUUUCAGGGUGUGGACUCCCUGGUGCUAGAAAGCGUGAUGUUCGCCAUCCUUGCGGAGCGGUCGCUGGGGCCCCAGCUGUACGGAGUCUUCCCAGAGGGCCGGCUGGAACAGUACAUCCCAAGUCGGCCAUUGAAAACUCAAGAGCUUCGAGAGCCAGUGUUGUCAGCAGCCAUUGCCACGAAGAUGGCGCAAUUUCAUGGCAUGGAGAUGCCUUUCACCAAGGAGCCCCACUGGCUGUUUGGGACCAUGGAGCGGUACCUAAAACAGAUCCAGGACCUGCCCCCAACUGGCCUCCCUGAGAUGAACCUGCUGGAGAUGUACAGCCUGAAGGAUGAGAUGGGCAACCUCAGGAAGUUACUAGAGUCUACCCCAUCGCCAGUUGUCUUCUGCCACAAUGACAUCCAGGAAGGUAGGAGAAGGCAUCUGAGUCUCCUAACCCAAGAUGGAAGAGCCAGAGGGCUCUGGAGUGAGCAGAACCUCACCCCAUUCCCCCAGGGAACAUCUUGCUGCUCUCAGAGCCAGAAAAUGCUGACAGCCUCAUGCUGGUGGACUUCGAGUACAGCAGUUAUAACUAUAGGGGCUUUGACAUUGGGAACCAUUUUUGUGAGUGGGUUUAUGAUUAUACUCACGAGGAAUGGCCUUUCUACAAAGCAAGGCCCACAGACUACCCCACUCAAGAACAGCAGUUGCAUUUUAUUCGUCAUUACCUGGCAGAGGCAAAGAAAGGUGAGACCCUCUCCCAAGAGGAGCAGAGAAAACUGGAAGAAGAUUUGCUGGUAGAAGUCAGUCGGUAUGCUCUGGCAUCCCAUUUCUUCUGGGGUCUGUGGUCCAUCCUCCAGGCAUCCAUGUCCACCAUAGAAUUUGGUUACUUGGACUAUGCCCAGUCUCGGUUCCAGUUCUACUUCCAGCAGAAGGGGCAGCUGACCAGUGUCCACUCCUCAUCCUGACUCCACCCUCCCACUCCUUGGAUUUCUCCUGGAGCCUCCAGGGCAGGACCUUGGAGGGAGGAACAACGAGCAGAAGGCCCUGGCGACCGGGCUGAGCCCCCAAGUGAAACUGAGGUUCAGGAGACCGGCCUGUCCCUGAGUUUGAGUGCCGACCAACCCCCAGGAUGGCGGAAGCUCACCAGGCCGUGGCCUUCCAGUUCACGGUGACCCCAGACGGGGUCGACUUCCGGCUCAGUCGGGAGGCCCUGAAACACGUCUACCUGUCUGGGAUCAACUCCUGGAAGAAACGCCUGAUCCGCAUCAAGAAUGGCAUCCUCAGGGGCGUGUACCCUGGCAGCCCCACCAGCUGGCUGGUCGUCAUCAUGGCAACAGUGGGUUCCUCCUUCUGCAACGUGGACGUCUCCUUGGGGCUGGUCAGUUGCAUCCAGAGAUGCCUCCCUCAGGGGUGUGGCCCCUACCAGACCCCGCAGACCCGGGCACUUCUCAGCAUGGCCAUCUUCUCCACGGGCGUCUGGGUGACGGGCAUCUUCUUCUUCCGCCAAACCCUGAAGCUGCUUCUCUGCUACCAUGGGUGGAUGUUUGAGAUGCAUGGCAAGACCAGCAACUUGACCAGGAUCUGGGCUAUGUGUAUCCGCCUUCUAUCCAGCCGGCACCCUAUGCUCUACACCUUCCAGACAUCUCUGCCCAAGCUUCCUGUGCCCAGGGUGUCAGCCACAAUUCAGCGGUACCUAGAGUCUGUGCGCCCCUUGUUGGAUGAUGAGGAAUAUUACCGCAUGGAGUUGCUGGCCAAAGAAUUCCAGGACAAGACUGCCCCCAGGCUGCAGAAAUACCUGGUGCUCAAGUCAUGGUGGGCAAGUAACUAUGUGAGUGACUGGUGGGAAGAGUACAUCUACCUUCGAGGCAGGAGCCCUCUCAUGGUGAACAGCAACUAUUAUGUCAUGGACCUUGUGCUCAUCAAGAAUACAGACGUGCAGGCAGCCCGCCUGGGAAACAUCAUCCACGCCAUGAUCAUGUAUCGCCGUAAACUGGACCGUGAAGAAAUCAAGCCUGUGAGUUGCGUCAGGGUUGAAGGUGGGAUGGGAGGGGAGACCUGAGUCUGAGCCAUGCUGGGCCUUCCCUCAGGUGAUGGCACUGGGCAUAGUGCCCAUGUGCUCCUACCAGAUGGAGAGGAUGUUCAACACCACUCGGAUCCCGGGCAAGGACACAGAUGUGCUACAGCACCUCUCAGACAGCCGGCACGUGGCUGUCUACCACAAGGGACGCUUCUUCAAGCUGUGGCUCUAUGAGGGCGCCCGUCUGCUCAAGCCUCAGGAUCUGGAGAUGCAGUUCCAGAGGAUCCUGGACGACCCCUCCCCACCUCAGCCUGGGGAGGAGAAGCUGGCAGCCCUCACUGCAGGAGGAAGGGUGGAGUGGGCGCAGGCACGCCAGGCCUUCUUUAGCUCUGGAAAGAAUAAGGCUGCCUUGGAGGCCAUCGAGCGUGCCGCUUUCUUCGUGGCCCUGGAUGAGGAAUCCUACUGCUAUGACCCCGAAGAUGAGGCCAGCCUCAGCCUCUAUGGCAAGGCCCUGCUACAUGGCAACUGCUACAACAGGUGGUUUGACAAAUCCUUCACUCUCAUUUCCUUCAAGAAUGGCCAGUUGGGUCUCAAUGCAGAGCAUGCGUGGGCAGAUGCUCCCAUCAUUGGGCACCUCUGGGAGGUAAUGGCCUUGCAGAGGGAACCUGCAGGGCAGGCUGUAGGGGAUGAGGCCAGCCUCUCAGUCUCAUCCUCUCCCUGCAGUUUGUCCUGGGCACAGACAGCUUCCACCUGGGCUACACGGAGACCGGGCACUGCCUGGGCAAACCGAACCCUGCGCUCGCACCUCCUACACGGCUGCAGUGGGACAUUCCAAAACAGUGCCAGGCGGUCAUCGAGAGUUCCUACCAGGUGGCCAAGGCGUUGGCAGACGACGUGGAGUUGUACUGCUUCCAGUUCCUGCCCUUUGGCAAAGGCCUCAUCAAGAAGUGCCGGACCAGCCCUGAUGCCUUUGUGCAGAUCGCGCUGCAGCUGGCUCACUUCCGGGGGUAAGUUCUGCCUGACCUAUGAGGCCUCAAUGACCAGAAUGUUCCGGGAGGGACGGACUGAGACUGUGCGUUCCUGUACCAGCGAGUCCACAGCCUUUGUGCAGGCCAUGAUGGAGGGGUCCCACACGAAAGCAGACCUGCGAGAUCUCUUCCAGAAGGCUGCUAAGAAGCACCAGAAUAUGUACCGCCUGGCCAUGACCGGGGCAGGGAUCGACAGGCACCUCUUCUGCCUUUACUUGGUCUCCAAGUACCUAGGAGUCAGCUCUCCUUUCCUUGCUGAGGUGCUCUCGGAACCCUGGCGUCUCUCCACCAGCCAGAUCCCCCAAUCCCAGAUCCACAUGUUCGACCCAGAGCAGCACCCCAAUCACCUGGGCGCUGGAGGUGGCUUUGGCCCUGUAGCAGAUGAUGGCUAUGGAGUUUCCUACAUGAUUGCAGGCGAGAACACGAUCUUCUUCCACAUCUCCAGCAAGUUCUCAAGCUCAGAGACGAAUGCCCAGCGCUUUGGAAACCACAUCCGCAAAGCCCUGCUGGACAUUGCUGAUCUUUUCCAAGUUCCCAAGGCCUACAGCUGAAGGUUGGAGAAAUGCCAGCUGCCCUUUCGUCCCCACACUGUGGAGGAAGGGACCUGUGGCAGCUCACAGGCAUGAGGGGUGGCCGUGCACAGGUGCCCAGGCUCCAAGGACAGCUCCGGCAGCAGGUCCUCGUUGGGCAGAUGCUGCUCCCUGAGGGCCCAGGUGGUGGAGCCCUUAGGUACCUGUGUUUUGUUUGGGAACUAGGAGGCCCUCCGCCUCCCCCAGCUCAGACCACAGAGGUGGCAAGAGAAGGGCUGAAGCUGGAAGACUGUUCAUGAGGGACUUGUGUGACCUGCUUUGAAAUGUGUGACUCUGCUGAGUGACGUAGGCUCUGAGAUAGCUGUCCACGCCCACGUGUUUGCUUGGAAUAAAUACUUGCCUCAG